UGUCAAGGGAUGGGAAUCGAACCCACGACCUUCCGCUUACCGGGCAGAUGCCAUGACCACUAGGGAACACUGGAC